CAAUAGCGUAUAUUAAAGUUGUUGCGGUUAAAAAAGCUCGUAGUUGGACUUCGCCGGAAGGAAGACGGUCCCCCCUAGUGGGGUGUAUCUGUUGAUCCCUCUGGCUCCGGGUGUUUAAGGUGCGUCGCUUCAUUGCGAUGUCCGUAGGCACCCCUUUUACUUUGAGGAAAUUAGAGUGUUCACGGCAGGCAAUCGCCCUGAAUACGUUAGCAUGGAAUAAUAAUAUAAGGCUUCGGCCCUAUUAUGGUUUCUAGAGCUGAAGUAAUGAUUAAUAGGGAUAGUUGGGGGCAUUCGUAUUAUCACGUCAGAGGUGGAAUUCUUAGAUUGUGUUACGACGAACUACUGCGAAAGCAUUUGCCAAGGAUGUUUUCAUUGAUCAAGAACGAAAGUUAGGGGAUCGAAGACGAUCAGAUACCAU
rnacentral:rRNA from 1 species